rnacentral:lncRNA from 1 species
GACAUCCUUCCUUCAUACUGGAGUCUCUGCCCAGAGCGUGACCCUGUCAGGAAGCAUCUCAGCUGUGGUGGGCCACAGCACUGGGAAGAGAACGGGGCUGAAUGUUAACCAGAAAGUGGAAGGAAGCUCUGUCUGAAGAGAAACAGGGCCAGCACGGGGGGGGGGGGGGGUGCGGCACACCUGUGAUCCCAGCACUCAGGAUGCUGGGCCAAGCGGAUGUGACAUUCCAGGUCGGUUUGAACUACCUGAGAUAAUUUAGCUCAUAAACAAAACCACGCAAACAAAAGAAAGCCACAUGGAGGCAGGAGGCUCCCCUAAGAAGCAGGAUUUAUGCACAUCCCCUGCUAGGCUUGGCAUGGGAGCUUUUCCCACUUUGCCUACAGGCAUCCAGAUAAUGAGGUUGUGUUCUUUGUGUUAAGGGACACAUCAACCCUCUAUCAGACUGGCCUUCCCAAAGCUCUGCUGAGCACAGGCGCACUUAUUAUCUUUCACCAAUCUUGUAGCCCAUGUAGACUUGAUGUUCUUUUCCAGCGCCAAUAGUUUUUUUUCCUUAAAUAACCUUGUCUAAUUAAGUUCUCCUCCCCAACCCCCCCACAAGUCCCCAAUCUGUCUUACAGCCCUUCAGUCCUAAGACUCCAACAAAGUUCUUUGUUAUU